GCCGGUCCCAAGCCCGUGUUGAGAAAGGAGGAGGGAAUCACCAACUGACAACAUCUAACAGUCACCCCGGACUAAUGUUCUAACCUAGAGUCGCGAGUAGAGGUUGUAACCUAAAUCGAGACUUUAAACCAGCAACAUCAACUCACAUCAUGUUGUAGUCGCGCAUGCAUAAAAACGUAAACAAACAUGGUAGAGUGUGCGCCAUUGGGCUACAUCAGCAGCUCUAACGAUGGCAAGAAAACUAGAAUGCUUUGGUCUCCAGAAGAUAAGAAAUGUCGGACAGCAAACAUCGACAGUAAAAAUGAAGAGACGACUUUCUCCAUCAUCACACAGGAUUGUGUCAAGACAACACGUGUUUUCGGAGAGAUCCGCGGUAGAUGUUAGUCGCGUAUGAACCGAUCAGCCCCCGACAGAAGCCUGGAGCAAUUCCAACCAAUUUUGAUUACUCAUCCCCUCACUCUACCUCAUUUCAUCACUCUACAACUCCAUUGAAAGAUAACUACUUCUAAAUGGAAUCACCGAAUCAGAGACCUAUAUUAAUAUCUAUAGGUUCAGAGAGGAGGAGGAGGAGUUCAAAAGACCGGAGAGUGGAGGACAGGGGAAAACACAUUCCUGUUGAUUGCCCGGACUGAAAUUGAACCCGGGAUCACCGGAUCACCGGAUCACCGGGGUAAUAAGCCACCUAUCUACCUCGUGCACCAAAGAAGGAUGCUUUGUUGGCUGAGUGACAGAGACUGUAUUUACACUACAUGUAUGUACAAGCCACACCGACCUGUUCCUGUUACACAUGUAUUAUCAGAUUCAGGUAUUAAGGAUUAAAAAAAAAGAUUAAGGAAUACAUUUUCGUAACAUAGAAUUUAUAAGAAAUUUAGUAAGGCCUAAAAAAAUAACCGUAUGUAUACUGACCCUAUAUAUUUGUGCCUACCCUGAAUUUUUUUUGGUAACUUUUCUAUAACCUUAGUAAAAACUACUUUGAAAAUGUCAUUUAUAAAGAUAAAAAAAAAAGGUAGUGGGCCGACCACUGUCCCCUGGUAUGGGGUACCCGGAGAGGACAGAUGCGCUGUUUAUUGUCCCCUUAGGUACCCUGGAGAGGAUGGGGGCGCUAUCUGUUGUCCCCUUAGGUACCCUGGAGAGGAUGGGGCGCUAUCUGUUGUCCCCUUAGGUACCCUGGAGAGGAUGGGGGUGCUAUCUAUUGUCCCCAUAGGUACCCCAGAGAGGAUUGAGGCGCUACUAGUAUCUGUUGUCCCCUUUGGUACCCUGGAGAGGACAGUGGUGCUAUCUGUUGUCCUCUGAGGUACCAUGUAGAGGAUGGGGCGCUAUCUGUUGUCCCCUUUGGUACCCUGGAGAGGACAGUGGUGCUAUCUGUUGUCCCCUUAGGUACCCUGGAGAGGAUGGGGACGCUAUCUGUUGUCCUCUGAGUUACCCUGGAGAGGAAGGGGGCGCUAUCUGUUGUCAUCUGAGUUACCCUGGAGAGGAAAGGGUGCUAUCUGUUGUCAUCUGAGUUACCCUGGAGAGGAAAGGGUGCUAUCUGUUGUCAUCUGAGUUACCCUGGAGAGGAUUGGGGUGCUAUCUGUUGUCAUCUGAGUUACCCUGGAGAGGAUGGGGGCGCUAUCUGUUGUCAUCUGAGUUACCCUGGAGAGGAUUGGGGUGCUAUCUGUUGUCCCCUCAGGUACCCUGGAGAGGAUGGGGACGCUAUCUGUUGUCCUCUUAGGUACCCUGGAGAGGACAGUGGUGCUAUCUGUUGUCCUCUGAGGUACCCUGGAGAGGAUGGGGCGCUAUCAGUUGUCCCCAUAGGUACCAUGGAGAGGAGGGGGGCACUAUCUGUUGUCUCCUUAUAUUAGGUACCGUGGAGAGGAUGGGGCGCUAUCUGUUAUCCCAUUAGGUACCCUGGAGAGUAUGGGGGCACUAUCUGUUGACCCCUUCGGUACCCUAGAGAGGAUGGGGGCACUAUCUGUUGGCCCCUUAGGUACCCUGGAGAGGAUGGGGGCGCUAUCUGUUGGGCCCUUAGGUACCUUGGAGUGGAUGAGGGCGCUAUCUUUUGUCCUCUGAGGUACCCUGGAGAGGAUGGGGGCACUAUCUGUUGUCCCCUUAGGUACCCUGGAGAGGAGGGGGGCACUAUCUGUUGUCCCCUUAGGUACCCCAGAGAGGACGGUGGCGUUAUCAGAGCAGGUUCCAUGUAGUACCACCUUUUAGUAUUUAGAGAGAGAAAAAAAGAGACAAAAACCAGAGAAGAACUUCCUUGAUAACAUAAAAUCUUAGAUAGUAGUCUGGAGUGAGGAACUUUGUCAAACAAGAAUUCUAACUUUGUUUAUUUUUGUCAUGGUUCCUUGUGUAAAGUCAUCAAUAGUAAGAAUACAUUGUGUUUCAGUAGAGUGUGGAUCUGAAGUCAUGUUGAAGAUUUGUUAAAAUGUUGUGUUGUUCAAGGUGAAACAUGAUGUUACUGUGUAGUAUAUGUUCAAGAAACUUACAGGUAAUAAUAGUCUAGAAAGUUUUUGAAAACUGGUACUACAUUUGCCUCCCGCAAGUCAGAUAUGGGACAGUACCAGAAUCUAUGGAAGUUUGGAAAAGAUAUGUAAGGGCUGUAGUGAUUACAGUAACCAGUUGUUUGAGAGCUCUAGCUGGUAUAUUGUCUGGGCCAGUAGCUAUAUGUACCUGUAUGUUCUGUAGCAGUUUGUGAACACCUGUCUCACUUAAGAUGAUAGGAGACAUUGUUGGAAAUGGAGAGCGACCCAUGUCUGGUAUAACCAAAAGAUUUUCUUUGGUGAAAAUAGACUGAAACUGCUUGUUCAAUAUAGUACCUUAGAUGCAUUUAUGAUCAGAAUAGUUGAUACCAUCUCUGAUUUCUUAUUGGAUGAAUGCUUUUUGUGUGCUAUCUUUUUACAUUUGAAAAGCUCCAGAAUUUCUUAGGUUUUUCUGUAAGCUGGCUGCUGAUAAUUUCCACUGUUAGGCAAAGUAUUAUAUACAAUGUAAUUUAUUCAGGAUACAAAUAAUUAUUUUUCCAUUUAAAAUCUGAAAGAUACAAUCAGAGGCUCAAGCUUUUGGAGGGUGGUAAUAACAUAAAGUACUGUAUAUUUAACUUUGAAUAUUGAACUGUCUAUUCUUGUUUUAAAUUGAUCAUACAAUUGUACUUUUUGUCAGAUCUGUAGCAUCUUUUAUCAUUUUUGCAUACUCUGUGUAGUGUCGCAAUAUAACGGGAGGUAACUGAGGAGGUACUUGUCUAGGUAAACCCCACACAAAGAAAUAAUAUUUGUUGAAAUAUUCAACAUAUCUUGUGUUAAAACAACAGAUAAUUCAAGAAUAUUGUGUUAGCCUUAAAUACAGGUGGAUUUAAUUUGGAGCAAGCUCCAUUGUUUGAGAAAACAGCUACAGCCCUUGGACAUCUGGGUUUGGUAGGACCACAACUUCUACAGCCCAGACAUCUAGGUUUGGUACAACCACAACUUCUACAGCCCUGACAUCUGGGUUUGGUACGACCACAACCACUACAGCCCUGACAUCUGGGUUUGGUACGACCACAACUUCUACAGCCGGACAUCUGGGUUUGGUACAACCACAACUUCUACAGCCCCGACAUCUGGGUUUGGUACAACCACAACUUCUACAGCCCCGACAUCUGGGUUUGGUACGACCACAACUUCUACAGCCCUGACAUUUGGGUUUGGUACGACCACAACCACUACAGCCCUGACAUCUAGGUUUGGUACGACCACAACCACUACAGCCCUGACAUCUGGGUUUGGUACGACCACAACCACUACAGCCCUGACAUCUGGGUUUGGUACGACCACAACCACUACAGCCCUCGGACAUCUGGGUUUGGUACGACCACAACUUCUACAGCCCUGACAUCUGGGUUUGGUACGACCACAAAUUCUACAGCCGCUCCAAUGACCAAACUCUCCAAGGUGGAGGUGGUAUAUGUCUGGGUUUAAUCUUGAUGGAGCCAGCACAACUGGGUCAGGUCUUUUGGGCAGUGGAAUGUCUACAAACACUGGUCUGUUUGGUGGCGUUAACCAGCAGCAGCAGAAACAACGGCAGCAACAACAGCAGCAUCAACAGAAUCUCCAAAGUCUGGAGAACCGUGGUACCUCCAUCACCACACCACAGCUGUACUGUGAUGAACGAGAUGCCAUCAGCGCUAAGUGGAACUAGCUCCAGGCAUACUGGGACACUGGCAAGGGCUAUUUCAGACAGAAUGGUUGAGUGACCUUCACCCCAGUGAAUCUUUAACUGUAAAUUUAAGGUAACUUAAGGUGUAGAGAACCUUUUAUGUAUAAUGCGUUAAAUGCACGGUGUUCAUGAAAUAGUAAAUGCCACCCAUUUAAAGACUUUCUGGGUUUGACACCAUCCAGGGUUAUCCCCGACACAGAUUUCCUGUGUCUUAGACGCAGAAAAUCUUAAAGGGCUCUGGUACAAACUAAAUGUCUGCAUGGAUGCAUUGUAAUUCCAAAAUCUGCCAUACAAUGAAGAAAUAACAGUUGAUUUUGAUUGACACUAGUAUUUCAUUGUUUGUAUAUUAUUACUUCAGGCAACAUUGUUAUACCUGAUGAGCAACUUUGAUGCUGGAAAUGCUUUACCAUGAUUUUGUCAAUUUUUAAAUGUCAUGGAACUCCUGGAUUUUACAAUGGGACUCCCGCUUUUCCCAUCCGAGAGUCCCCGGGACCCUGCAUAACAAAAUUUACAUUUCUUUUACAUUUUUAAUUUGGAACAAAAAUUUCAUUAAAAAAUUAUACAAAUACUAUCAGAGAAAAGAGCAAAUAAUUCUCAAUGUGUUUGUGAAAUUUGAUAAAUUCCAUUGAGAGAUAGACAUUAAAACUGAUUUUAAAUUUGUUAAAAUGAAUGAAAUUUAUAUAUCAUGUAAGUAACAAUGUCAUGUGAUCAAAUACUUUUGGCAUGUCUUUGUUAAGGGUAGGUAUGUAAUAACUGUAGGCCAAAAGGUGUGUAGCAUACUUAUUCAAUCAUUUGUGAAUUAUAAUUAUAUAAAUUAAGCCAUAUAUAUAAUCCUCAACCUUAGAUGGAGAAGCAUGCUAAUUAUAAACACUACAUAGACAUGGUAACGACAACAUUCUACUACAUGUCAAAUCCAUACUUCAAUGAUCAUGUAAUAACUGUAGUCCCUUCUAGGCAUAAACAAUUUGUUAUUGUUUGAACUAUCUGAAAUGUGGAUCAUAUAUGAAUCAGCAGGGUUCAAACAAUCACUAGCUAGGUAAUUAUUGUUGUUAUGUAUAACAUACAUGUUCAAACUAUCCACCGGAGGUUUACCAUAAUCCUCUUUCUAUGUAAAAUUAUGAAUAUCACUCACUUGGUUUCCAUUGAUCAGUUUCCUUAUCUAAUUAUGUAUAUUGAUGAUUUACCAGGCCAUAGGGUACAGGUGUCUACCAAAGUUUUGUAAUGAAGACAAGCGUUUGGCCAUCACAAUCAAGAAGAAGGAGUCAGAAGUGUCUGCUGGACAGUAGCUGAUCCUCUACUCCCCGUUCAAGAUGUUGGGUAGCAGCCUGGGUGUUCUGUCGGACAUGAGGCCACUACCAGAUAACAAGUCAAUCCCACAUCAUCUACCACAUGACUGUCUUGCCACAUGUGCCUUAUAUUUCAGAAUUGGUCAAUUUUACUGUACACCACUACUGUACCUUAUAAGGGAUUGAAUUUUUUUUUUGUAAUAUCAGGUUUUAUCAUGCUUGAUUAAACUUCAUUGCUCGAAACAACAUAAAAAAAACAACUAAGACUUGAUAAACAUCAAUCGUGUCAUCGUGGGAUUACUAAAGGAAAAUAACUCACUCUCAUAUCUGUUCAAUUUAUUGGUGGGUUUAUAAUCAUAAUAUUCAGUGUAUUAGUGUUAAUUAGAUAAUUAUUUUAUGUUGAAGUGUAUAUAAAACAAAGCCAAAAUAAUUGAUAGGAUAUCAGCCUGUAUCCAUGGAAACUAAUGAAGGAAGUGAUAUUUUUGGAAUUAUUGGUGAAAUCACUACAUGUGUAUUUUCAAUUUAUUUACACAAUGAUAAUUAUCAUGUGUUUAUUUUUGAAAGACUGAGUGUAGGGCAGAGCUGGUGAUAUAUAUUGUGGAAUGACCUGACCAAAGACAAGCUUGGACAAUUCCAACUCUGGACACAGCAAAAACUAAAACAACAUAAUUUCUAACAUAGCUGCUGUCACAGAUCAUGGCUGAAGACGUCUGUCAAAGACUGGAUUCACAAGGAACAACACAAAAAAAGCUAGGACAACAACCCUUCAGUUUCAGUAGUGAACUCAGCAGCAGCAGCAUCAAGGUAUUUGGCCGUAACUCUGGGCGAUCAUUAAUGGUAGGCUACUCUGACCAUUACCUCUCUGACUUUGUUUUACAUCAGAAAUCACGAAAAACUAAGUAGUGAUUUGGAGGUCGCUGUUCAGCAUUCUGUGUUGGACGAACCUAUUGGUGAAGAAGUUUGAAUUAUAGCUGAUACUGAUCAAUGGUGUGUCACUGUGGCGAGUAGUAGGGAUGUGGACAAGCCCUUUGAACCUCUUACCAAGCCAGUAAUAGCGUCUCAACUUGUAUGCAACCUCAUGGAAGAAGUCCUUCAACUUUGUAAACUAAAGAUGAGUUCAGAAUUUUGUCUCAUGCAUUUAGAAGAUGGACUGCAGGAAAUUUUCUUCAAGAGCAAAAUGUUGGCAGAAUAUCUGAAGGAUUUUAAGAAAUGUAAUAUCAAAGAGCUCACACAGUUGUUAGGGUUAAACUGAUUGUCAAUCAAAUGGUGACGUUUUUUUUAUUCAUUUAACUCUUAUUGAGUUAAAAAUCUGUUGGUUUCACUGUCAAUAUCCCCUGCUUGGAGGAACAACUCUAAACAAACCUACUACACCAGACUCUAUAGAUUGUUGUUAUUGGUAUGGCUAACUUAAAAUUCAACCAUGUUGAAUUAUUGUCGCUUGUUUAUUUGUUCACAAACUUACAGGUAUUUUUGAAGAAAUCAAUAGGUAAUUGCAAAACAAUUCAACAUCUUAGAAGAAUUUCAUUAAUAAAAAUUUUAAAGACAGGUUAGGUUGCAGUUAAGAUUCAAGAAAUAUGAAUUUAUAUUUUAUUGUUAAUGAUUAUUAGCUCACCUGCCCGAAGGGCUGGGCAGGUGAGCUUAUGCCGUGGUGCGUUGUCCGUCUGUCUGUCAACUUUUCAUUUAAACUACUUAUUCUCAAGAAGCCCAGGGACUUGAUAUUGGACCUGUAGCAUGCUAGGGUGAAGGGCUACCAAGUUUGUUCAAAUAAAUGACCUUGACCUUCAUUAAAGGUCACAUGGGUCAAAAGAGCUAUAAUCUUCUAACAAGUUCUUCUCAAUAACCACAAGGCACAUGGACUUGAUAUUGGGUCUGUAGCAUGCUGGGGUUAUGGGCUACCCAAUUUGUCCAAAUGAAUGACCUUGACCUUCAUUCAAGGUUACAUGGGUCAAAUAGGCUAUCCUCUUCAAAUGACUUCUUCUCAAUAACCAAUAGGCAUAGGGACUUGAUAUUGGGUCUGUAUCAUGCUGGGGUGAAGGGCUCUGAAGUUUGUUCAAAUAAAUGACCUUGACCUACAUUCAUGGUCACAGAGGUGAAAUCAGUUUAAAUCUGUAAACAAUGAUUUUGCGAUAGCCAAGAAUCUCUGAAACCUGAUAUUAGGCAAAUAUGCUGGAAUGAAGGACUAGAAAAUUUAUUGAUAUGAAAAACCCAGCAUACACUGAUAUUUGAAUAAAGAGGUAAUCAGCAUAGUAUGUGUAGAAAGGACCUCAAUCAAAUUCAAAGUUGCGAUAGAGCCAGGUGAGCAAUACAGGCCCAUUGGGCCUCUUGUUUAAGAUUGUUAGAAAUCAUUACAAGUACAUGAUUGUAGUAAAUACAACAAAAACUCUAACUCUAGAAGUUAUUGUAAUGAAUGUUAUAAAGAUUAUAAUCCAUCAAUCAAUUCCUCAGUAUAAAUCAAGUCUGACAUUAUGCCACUUGCUUUGUUCCCGCUGUUUUAUUUCAAUCAAUUAUUUAAAAUGGGUCAUUUCUUAUUAAAACCAUGUCAGUAUUUCUAAAAAAAAUUGGUGUCAAACCAAAAAACUUUAUUUCAUUUGAUAGUGUUUGGGCAAAUGAAUUGCUGGUUGCAAGUUGAAAUGUGUAUGAACUGUAUUAUGUAUGAACACAAAGCAUAUUUCUUGAUACUUAUCUAUGCUCUACAGAAGGUUUGCUCAGCUCUUGUUUUAUAAUGUUACCACAAUGACUGCAUGAUGUGUUCUGUCUUUGUGAAUCAUGCAUAUGUGAUUGCCAUAUACACGAGUGUGAAAGUGUGUUUAUGUAUCUACAUAUCUGCAUUUCUUACCUGGUUAAGAGUGUAUAUGAUAUAUUAAAAUAUGUAUUGGUGCUCCAGUAAAUAAUCUUCCUGUGCCAUUUAGUUUGACAUUUCUUGUGUAAUUUAUAAUAAAAAGUAUAAUUUCAUUUCCUGUU